AGUCAAGAGUCUUUGGCACCGUUUUGGUGAGCGUAAUUCUUUUGCCUUUUUGAAGAGGCGAGGGAC
rnacentral:sRNA from 1 species